rnacentral:rRNA from 1 species
UACGUAGGGGGCGAGCGUUGUCCGGAAUUACUGGGCGUAAAGGGCGUGUAGGCGGGGGUGCAAGUUAUCGGUAAAAACCCGAGGCUCAACCACGGGCCUGCCGAUAAAACUGCAUCUCUUGAGUGCAGGAGAGGGGAAUGGAAUUCCCGGAGUAGCGGUGAAAUGCGUAGAUACCGGGAGGAACACCAGUGGCGAAGGCGGUUCCCUGGCCUGUAACUGACGCUGAGGCGCGAAAGCUGGGGUAGCGAACGGGAUUAGAUACC